UACGUAGGGGGCAAGCGUUGUCCGGAUUUAUUGGGCGUAAAGAGCGUGUAGGCGGCCAGAUAGGUCCGUUGUGAAAACUCGAGGCUCAACCUCGAGACGCCGAUGGAAACCAUCUGGCUAGAGUCCGGAAGAGGAGAGUGGAAUUCCUGGUGUAGCGGUGAAAUGCGCAGAUAUCAGGAAGAACACCCGUGGCUAAGGCGGCUCUCUAGUACGGUACUGACGCUGAGACGCGAAAGCGUGGGGGAGCGAAACAGG
rnacentral:rRNA from 1 species